rnacentral:rRNA from 1 species
UGCAAGUCGAGCGCACCCUUCGGGGCGAGCGGCGGACGGGUUAGUAACGCGUGGGAACGUACCCUUGUCUACGGAAUAGCCUUUGGAAACGAAGAGUAAUACCGUAUACGCCCUUCGGGGGAAAGAUUUAUCGGACAAGGAUCGGCCCGCGUUAGAUUAGAUAGUUGGUGGGGUAAUGGCCUACCAAGUCUACGAUCUAUAGCUGGUUUUAGAGGAUGAUCAGCAACACUGGGACUGAGACACGGCCCAG